rnacentral:rRNA from 1 species
UGCAAGCAUUAUCCGGAGUGACUGGGCGUAAAGAUUGCGUAGGCGGUUAUGUAAGCGAAUAGUGAAACCUGGUGGCUCAACCACACAGACUAUUAUUCGAACUGCAUAACUCGAGAAUGGUAGAGGUAACUGGAAUUUCUUGUGUAGGAGUGAAAUCCGUAGAUAUAAGAAGGAACACCAAUGGCGUAGGCAGGUUACUGGGCCAUUUCUGACGCUAAGGCACGAAAGCGUGGGGAGCGAACCGGAUUAGAUACCCGGGUAGUCCACGCCGUAAACGAUGGAUACUAGCUGUUGGAGGUAUCGACCCCUUCAGUAGCGAAGCUAACGCGUUAAGUAUCCCGCCUGUGGAGUACGGCCGCAAGGCUAAAACAUAAAGGAAUUGACGGGGACCCGCACAAGCGGUGGAUCAUGUUCUUUAAUUCGAUGCUAAACGAAGAACCUUACCAGGACUUGACAUCCUUGGAAGCACUACGAAAGUAGCGUGUGCCUUUUGGAACCAAGUGACAGGUGUUGCAUGGCCGUCGUCAGCUCGUGUCGUGAGAUGUUUGGUUAAGUCCAUCAACGAGCGCAACCCUUAUGGUCUGU